AGUGAACGCUGGCGGUAGGCCUAACACAUGCAAGUCGAACGGCAGCACAGGAGAGCUUGCUCUCUAGGUGGCGAGUGGCGGACGGGUGAGGAAUACAUCGGAAUCUGCCCAGUCGUGGGGGAUAACGUAGGGAAACUUACGCUAAUACCGCAUACGACCUUCGGGUGAAAGAGGGGGAUCGCAAGACCUCUCGCGAUUGGAUGAGCCGAUGUCGGAUUAGCUAGUUAGCGGGGUAAUGGCCCACCAAGGCGACGAUCCGUAGCUGGUCUGAGAGGAUGAUCAGCCACACUGGAACUGAGACACGGUCCAGACUCCUACGGGAGGCAGCAGUGGGGAAUAUUGGACAAUGGGCGCAAGCCUGAUCCAGCCAUACCGCGUGGGUGAAGAAGGCCUUCGGGUUGUAAAGCCCUUUUGUUGGGAAAGAAAUCUUUCAGGCUAAUACCCUGGGAGGAUGACGGUACCCAAAGAAUAAGCACCGGCUAACUGCGG
rnacentral:rRNA from 1 species